rnacentral:rRNA from 1 species
GAUGAACGCUAGCGGCAGGCUUAAUACAUGCAAGUCGAGGGGCAACAUGGGUAGCAAUACCUGAUGGCGACCGGCAAACGGGUGCGGAACACGUACAGAACCUUCCUUCGAGCGGGGAAUAGCCCGAAGAAAUUCGGAUUAAUACCCCAUAGUAUUAUGAAGUGGCAUCACUUUAUAAUUAAAGAUUUAUCACUUAAAGAUGGCUGUGCGCCUGAUUAGGUAGUUGGUGCGGGUAAUGGCCCACCAAGCCAACGAUCAGUAACUGGUGUGAGAGCACGACCAGUCACACGGGCACUGAGACACGGGCCCGACUCCUACGGGAGGCAGCAGUAAGGAAUAUUGGUCAAUGGACGCAAGUCUGAACCAGCCAUGCCGCGU